UUGCAGAAUGAUAAAGUGUUUGCAAUAAAUGCAAGUACAAUUCAGCCUGCAUUUAAUGGCGUUUGAGAUCAAGAUCAAGGUUUUUUUUACAUAAUAUUUAUUGUGUUAUUUAUUUACUAUAAACGGACGCCUAAGCAAGUAUAAAGUCAAGUUUAUAAGUUUUAAUCGUUUUCAUAUAAUGUUAAGUUCACAUACAUAAGUUUCCGAUUUGUUGUUUAUAAUGUUGUUACCAACAACAUGAAGCAAAAGGUAAACAGAAAAAGGUAGAAAUGUUAAAAAAGCAUGCAAACAAGUUGAAAUGUAAACUUAAAUAAAGAAUGAAAUUCAAAAAAAAACAAAAAACAACAAUUGGAGGAGUUGAAAAAAAAACGCCAAAUAGUUGCUUGCAUUUAAAAGGAAUAGAAAAACAAGCGGACUAAACCUGCGCAGUGCGCCAUUUUCUGAUUUAGAAGUAACUUUAAGAAACAGGCAACAAAGGAGCCAAUGUACAGGAGCCAAUAUAUAUGUAUAUUAUCCGCUGGUCCCAUAUACCAAAAGUCUUAACAAAGGAACUGCAUUGUAUUUGAAUCCCGCCGUCUAUAAAUCUUUCAGCAAUACGUUUGAAAUAUAUUAAAGAAUUGUUCAAAAUUUUUUAAACUAACUGUUACUUUAGUAAUAGUGGAGCAUUGUGACAGUCAGCAGUUGAGACACAAAACUCUACAACUUCAAGAUUGUUCUAAUUCUAAUUAGUAAAAAUGAAUAGAAUAACCAUAUUUUGAACUAAAUAUUUUACGUCCUUAUCAGAACGUAGUAUGUUACGUACAAUGUGUACAGAAAACUCAUUAAAGGCAUGAACACUACACCAGGCUUCCUUUAACCACAGCCCUCGCCAUUAACAUCACCCGAAUGUAAUACAAUACAUAAAAUUCGCUUGAGAUGGAUGGGGCACGUCAUGAGAAUGCCGGAAGAUAGAUCACAAAAGCGAAGACUCCAUUUCACACCGUACAACGACCGCAGUAGAGGUAUACCACGUAUUAGAUGCCAGGACAACGUGAUCGACGACAUCAGAAAAAUGGGUAUCCAAAAUUGGAGGUCUAAAACAAUAUGCAAAGCAGAAGCUAGUUAAUGCAGCUAAAGCUUACCCCAAGCUGUAACGCUUGAUGAUGAUAAUAAAUAUAACACAUAUCUAUGAUUCAUUCGACUAAAAAACUUGUAGCAACGAUUCGUUUAUGGUUUUUAAUAUUUAGUGUUAAAGGAUUGAAAGGGUGUCAUAAAAUGUUUUUGGAUUUUUA